UGCCCCGCGGCUCCCCGCGCGUGUCCGCUGGAACGCGGGCAGCUCCUGGGGCCGGACCGCGGAGAAUUACGCAGAAGCCCGCGAAUGAAUAACACGUCCCACUGACCGCGAGCGGGCUCCUGUCUGCUACUCGGCCGGCCGCUAGAACCAGCCGAGAGCCUACUGGUGCCCACAAGUUAAGGAGGGACCCCCGGCCCGCGGCCGUACCGGCGGCGGGGCAGCGCUCCCUCUCAGCCCGGCUCCGCCCUCCCGCCGAGCCCGCUCUGGAGGCAGGAAUUCCUGUUCCUUCCUGCAAAGAUGGAAAUGGUAAAGUGCUUGAACUAGAAAAAACCAUUUGUGUGUGAAGACCAAUUCAUCUGCAACAGCUGCUCUGAAAGUAAUGCUUCCUAUUUUACUGUGUUGGCACACGAUAUCAGAUAUGGAUGUUGGUGGUACAGCAGUAGAGCUUGAAGCUUGUAUGGAAACUGCUGAGUUACAGCCUGAACCUCUGAUUGAUCACCGGAGGCGAGCCAUGAGUCAGCCAGAGGAGCACAGCUGAAGGCAAUUCACCUGUGCUGUCGCAAGGGGUGGAGCCUGGCUGCACCCCUCCUAGACCUGUUUAAGAGCUGACUACCAGUGGGGAAGGAUCUGUCCUGGAGAUUGGCUCUGCUGGAGUUUUGUGAGUGAGCCCAGGAUAAGGUUUGUUGCUGUGUGACAGAUGGCAGCAGAGGGGCAGCCUGACAGAAUGGCAUGUGACAUGGGAUGUGGAUGAAGCAAAGGUUUGUCACUGAAUUCCUCCCUGCAGAAAACAUGGCACCCAUUGACAUUCACUGAAUUUGCUGAAUGUUUAUGGAAACCUAACAGUGGAUAUGAGCACAUUGAGGCGGUGGGUGGUGCAUUUCAGCAAUGGUGACAGUGGGCUACCUCUGGUGCAGAUUUGUACAAGCAUGGCAUGCAGGCUCUUGUUUGCUGGCAAAGAUGCAUAUCUAGUGGUGGUGACUAUGCUGAGAAAUAGCAUUUUGUAGCUGAGAAUUUGCUCAAAUAGUGUUACUGUGCACUCUGCAUCUGUUAUGGUUUCCAUAGAAACAAAUAGGAGGCAUUACUUUCAGAACAGCCUAUAUACCAGAUCCAGUAACGUCAAUUUAUUUUCCUUGGUAUUGCUGUUAUUAUGAAGAUGAAAACAAUUAUUCACAUUGUUGUCCAUCUAGAAAAAUAUUUACAGGUGUCUAUUUUUAAAUAUUUUCAGUGCUAUUUUUGUAUCUUUCGUGUAAAGAUUGAAUAAUUGCUGUAGUUUUAUGGUAACAAUUGCUACUUGAUUGUAAGACAAUAUAAAGUACUUUUAUCUUAAAAAAAAAAAAAAAAAAUCAUUUGCCUGUUCUUUAGGUUUGUAAAAUGAAGAUUCUUUUCUGAGUGAAGCCAUAACCAACUCACAUAGCUGAACUGUCUGACUAAUUAUAAAGCUUAUGUAAGAACAGACGUGCCAUAUUUAUCUUGAUUUAAGGUUGGAAGAACCCAGGUGAGCUUUCUCACUGUCCCCAUGCUUUAACAAUGCACAGUAAGUGGCCCGGGAUCUAAUUUUCCCUCCUUAUUGAAUUGUGGUCAUGACAACCGUCUGUAGAAGGGUAAACUUUACAGUACUGUCUUGUUCAAGGGUAUCAUGUCGGUGUUAUGCUGUGUGAUACAGUGAGGUAAUGGAAAAUAAUACUGUACAGCUGCUUAUGCCUUUCUGUGCAUUUUCUUUUGUUUGCUUGAUAUUUACGUGGCCACUGUGACAAGGAAAGUAUAUAAACAACACCAGUUUUGAAAAAACAAGCUAACAUCCAAAAGAGCCAUUUGCUUAGAAAAAUGCCACUGUUUUUGAUUCUUCAAAUGUGUCCAGCUUUACACAUUAUGUAUCGAAUACAAUGUAUUUUUUUUUCUGCUGUGCAUAAGGCAUAGAAAGCCCUUGCUUUUGCUUGACUUUAUGGCAAAAGCUUGCCUUAGAAUAUGUGGAUAAAAAUAAACAAAGGUAAAGUCAGUGACAAGUCAUUAUUUUUGAGCUCCCUCCUGCAAGGGAGCUGUUUGCAAAAUGAGAUGGUAUAAAGCUGAACAUGCCUAUUAAACAGCAUCUAAUAGGUUCUCAAAAUCUGUUGUUCCCCCCCCCCCGAAAUUUCUACACAAGGAAGCCUUUACUGAUAUGAGAGGGAAAGUAAUUUAAUUCGGCUUUGCCUGCUCCGUGGUAAAAACUACACGCAUAUUAUGUCUCAAAUUGAAAACGCAACAGUGGAGAUUGUAUGUUCAAGUACUUUGGAAAUAUUAUGAGAAGAUGAAAAAGAAAGGAGGGCAGGAGAGUUCUUUCUGAAGUCAUGACAUACAGUCUUGCCAUAUGUUAAGGGAAGAAGUAGCUGCUUGCUUCAUU